rnacentral:tRNA from 1 species
UGAUAAUUAGUUUAAAUCAAAACAAAUGAUUUCGACUCAUUAAAUUAUAGCCAGAACUAUAAUUAUCAA